AUACGUAGGGGGCGAGCGUUGUCCGGAAUUAUUGGGCGUAAAGCGCGCGCAGGCGGCGAUUUAAGUUCGGUGUUUAAGCCCGGGGCUCAACCCCGGAUCGCAUCGAAAACUGGAUGGCUUGAGUGCAGGAGAGGGAAGCGGAAUUCCACGUGUAGCGGUGAAAUGCGUAGAGAUGUGGAGGAACACCAGUGGCGAAGGCGGCUUCCUGGCCUGUAACUGACGCUGAGGCGCGAAAGCGUGGGGAGCAAACAGGAUUAGAUACCCUGGUAGUCCACGCCGUAAACGAUGAGUGCUAGGUGUCGGGGGUUUCGACACCCGCGGUGCCGAAGUUAACACAGUAAGCACUCCGCCUGGGGAGUACGGUCGCAAGACUGAA
rnacentral:rRNA from 1 species